rnacentral:rRNA from 1 species
AUGAUUUCCUUUUUGGUUCAUGCAAUGGACUCCUUGGCUUAUACACAAAGACAUCAACUAUCAAGCUUUGGAUAUCAUCCCGUGACAAAAGAAUACAAGAUUACACACUUCCUUGGUGAUUGUGUUGAUGGUCGCCCCCAUAAUAAAGACAGGUUCAGCACCAUUCAAGUUUACACUCUUGGUGAUGAGAAAUGGAAAGAUAUCCGAACCCCAGAAGCUCUUAGCUUGAUCAUUGUGAGAAACUCUGGAGUUGUCAAUGUUGAUGGCAAAAUGUAUUGGUUAACUGAAGACAUGUUAGCUAGCUGGCAGCAUGCAGUUAUGUCCUUUGAUCUCAGGGAAGAAAGUUUUGCGAAGAUACAACUGCCGGCAGAACGUGAAGAUCAUGAUCGUUAUGGUCCUCGUAAGUUCUGGAUCAGAGAUAUAGAUGGGAAAAUAUGUAUAGUAACUGCUCAAACAAGUCGUUAUGAUCCCAGAGCUCUUCUUGGUGAGUUGCAGAUAUGGACACUUGACAACACGGUAGAGCAACAAAGGUGGAGUCAGAAGUACAAUAUUAAGCACACACCAAAUUAUAUUCCAGGGCCACAUUUUGUCCACAGGGAUAGGAUCCUCGCACAACUUUGCAGCAAUAAUGUAUGUUCGUGUGAGUUGUUUGGUGAGAACUUUGAUGUUAACCAGAGUAAGUGGGUACACCUGUUAGAUUUCAGUCCCCGCAAGCCGUACAACAUGCAAUCCUACAUUUGUGUGAAGUCACUUGUACGUUUAGAUGUCUACAAGAAGGCAGGCAUUGUACGUAGACCAAAACAGCGGGAAGGCUGGGAAUUGAAGAAGUGGGAGACAUGGAAGUGUAUGCUUGGCAAGGAUGCGGAUAUGCGGAGCCAGAUCCACAAAUUUGAGCAUGACUUACUUACGUUUUUUGACACUACACUAGUGCCAAAAAACGUCUUACAUUAUGGGACGGAGGGAGUAUUUUGUAGGAACUCGCAGAAACAUCGAGUAAAAUGUGCAAGUUUUUGCAGAAUAAGCAAUAUAACAUUGCAGAACAUGUACUCACGGAACUCAAUCAGGUGUUGCAGCGCAAACCAGAUAAUCCAGAUCAGCCAUUGUCCAUCCGGAGGCUUAAUUGGGUGGGGAGCAGAAUUGGGAGCAGCAGAAGUUAAUGGCUCGUUUAAGUAA